rnacentral:rRNA from 1 species
CCUACGGGGGGCUGCAGUCGAGAAUCUUCCUCAAUGGACGAAAGUCUGAAGGAGCGACGCCGCGUGUAUGAAGACGCCCCUCGGGGUGUAAAGUACUUUUAACUGUGAAAAAACAAUGAUGGUAGCAGUUGAAUAAGGGGCUGCUAACCUCGUGCCAGCAGCAGCGGUAAUACGAGGGCCCCAAGCAUUAUCCGGAUUUAUUGGGCGUAAAGCGUCCGUAGGUGGUUUAUCGCAUCUCCUGUUAAAUCUCGAGGCUCAACCUCGAGUCAGCGGGAGAGAUGGACAAACUAGAGAUUGGAAGAGGCAAACGGAAUUGCUGGUGUAGGGGUUAAAUCCAUUAAUAUCAGCAAGAACACCAAAUGCGAAGGCAGUUUGCUAGGACAAUUCUGACACUCAGUGGACGAAAGCGUGGGGAGCGAAUGGGCUUAGAUACCCCUGUAGUC